GAGUUUGAUCCUGGCUCAGAUUGAACGCUGGCGGUAUGCUUAACACAUGCAAGUCGAACGGUAACAGCAGAGCUUGCUCUGGCUGACGAGUGGCGGACGGGUGCGUAACGCGUGGGAAUCUACCUUAUAGUGGGGGAUAGCCCGGAGAAAUCCGGAUUAAUACCGCAUAAGCCCUAUGGGGGAAAAGGGGCCUCUCCUUGGAAGCUCUUGCUAUUAGAUGAGCCCGCGUAAGAUUAGCUUGUUGGUGGGGUAAUGGCCUACCAAGGCGACGAUCUUUAGCUGGUCUGAGAGGAUGAUCAGCCACACUGGGACUGAGACACGGCCCAGACUCCUACGGGAGGCAGCAGUGAGGAAUAUUGGACAAUGGGCGCAAGCCUGAUCCAGCAAUACCGCGUGUGUGAAGAAGGCCUGAGGGUUGUAAAGCACUUUCAAUUGUGAUGAAAAGCCUUAAAUUAAUACUUUAGGGUCUUGACGUUAACUUUAGAAGAAGCACCGGCUAACUCCGUGUUAGCAGUUGCGGUAAUACGGAGGGUGCAAGCGUUAAUCGGAAUUACUGGGCGUAAAGCGCACGUAGGCGGUUAGGUAAGUCAGAUGUGAAAGCCCCGGGCUCAACCUGGGAACUGCAUUUGAUUCUGCUUAACUAGAGUAUAGCAGAGGCAAGUGGAAUUCCAGGUGUAGCGGUGAAAUGCGUAGAUAUCUGGAGGAACAUCAGUGGCGAAGGCGACUUGCUGGACUAAUACUGACGCUGAGGUGCGAAAGCGUGGGGAGCAAUCAGGAUUAGAUACCCUGGUAGUCCACGCCGUAAACGAUGUCAACUAGUCGUUGGGAGCAUUUAAGCUUUUAGUGGCGCAGCUAACGCAUUAAGUUGACCGCCUGGGGAGUACGCGCGCAAGCGUAAAACUCAAAGGAAUUGACGGGGGCCCGCACAAGCGGUGGAGCAUGUGGUUUAAUUCGAUGCAACGCGAAGAACCUUACCAGCCCUUGACAUCCUGCGAACUUUCUAGAGAUAGAUUGGUGCCUUUGGGAACGCAGUGACAGGUGCUGCAUGGCUGUCGUCAGCUCGUGUUGUGAGAUGUUGGGUUAAGUCCCGCAACGAGCGCAACCCUUGUCCUUAGUUGCCAGCACGUAAUGGUGGGAACUCUAAGGAGACUGCCGGUGAUAAACCGGAGGAAGGUGGGGAUGACGUCAAGUCAUUAUGGCCCUUAUGGGCUGGGCUACACACGUGCUACAAUGGCAAGUACAGAGGGCUGCAAUCCCGCGAGGGGGAGCCAAUCCCACAAAGCUUGUCUUAGUCCGGAUUGGAGUCUGCAACUCGACUCCAUGAAGUCGGAAUCGCUAGUAAUCGUAGAUCAGCACUGCUACGGUGAAUACGUUCCCGGGCCUUGUACACACCGCCCGUCACACCAUGGGAGUGGGUUGCAAAAGAAGUGAGUAGCUUAAUAAUGGGCGCUCACCACUUUGUGAUUCAUGACUGGGGUGAAGUCGUAACAAGGUA
rnacentral:rRNA from 1 species